rnacentral:rRNA from 1 species
GACAGAGGUGCCGAGCGUUAGGCGGAAUCACUGGGCUUAAAGCGUGUGUAGGCGGGCGGGCAAGUACCUUGUGAAAUCCCACGGCUCAACCGUGGAACGGCUGGGUAUACUGCCUGUCUUGAGCCAACUAGGGGCGAGCGGAACAGACGGUGGAGCGGUGAAAUGCGUUGAGAUCGGAAGGAACGCCCGUGGCGAAAGCGAGGUCCUGGACGCCUACUGACGCUGAGACGCGAAAGCCAGGGGAGCGAACGGG